GGGGGUGACAGGGUUCGACGGGAACACUGAAGCCCGAAGCUGCAUGCCGAGCGACUCCUGCGUGCUCGUAAAUCUGGCGGGAAAACUAAAAUAACUGCCAACGAACCGGUAGCUCUGGCGGCUUAACCCCCGCCAGCGUUCGCCUGGCUCUCGCCCAUAGGGGCCGGGACCGAACGUCGCUAUAUGGGCUGGUCGCGCGUCACGCCUGACGGCGCCAGGCUAGCGGAAGGCUGAGCUGGCCCACCCGGCUUGUCGACCGCGAAACAUAAGCGGUGGGCUAAGCAUGUAGAGGCUUUCGGCUGACGGUUUUCGGACGCGGGUUCAAUUCCCGCCGCCUCCACCU
rnacentral:tmRNA from 1 species